GCGGGUCUCCGUGAUCUUGGGCUCGGGCCUACGGCAGCUGAGGGCCAUUCCUAGCAUGCAGCGUUGAGGGUAAGGUCCAGGGAACGCGAGGCCACUGGGUUCACCGCCCGGGCUGCAUCUUCUCUCCCGGAGCUGAAAACUACCCUGUUUUUGUGCAGUGCAGAUUCGGCCACCGAGUUACGGAGCUGUCCAGGAAUGGCAGCUGUGAUUGACAGGCAUCUUUAUAGCAAGCUAACGAAACUACUCCAAGUCACAGCAAGCCAAGCAGGAGCAAUUACGCCAUCAGGAACCAAGGCUGCCUCACACCAAACGACAAAUUAUCCUAUGGCAUGAGCCAAGGUGCCCCCUCGCAGUGGACACAGAAUUGUCCUCUUGAGUGAUGAUGACUUUUCCACAGCCAGCCAUUCCCAAGGUACAGAUCAAUCAGGCCACAGCUUGAGCAACAAUACGUACACUGCCAGCUAUGCAGAGCCCCCAGCUAUCUCCAGCUCUUGCCUUUGUUCCCCUUUCCUCUAAAGCACCAAAGCUUCUGUCAGCCCCUUGAAGACAGACCUGGAACCCCUUUGUGGUUCCCGGCAUGGCCAUGUUGAAUACUGUUUCUUCCCUGCCCUUACCGCUAUUUGACAGCUUGAUGGGCGUUUUAGGGCGAGUGAUUGAGCCUGGUCUGUAGGAACCCCUGGGCCAAGGCUUUUACCCUAAAACUCCAGGAACAGACACACACAGGUACAACAUUGAUCUUUGAUCUUACGUUUGAUAGUUUGAUAUAUUCUCAUAUUCUACUCAAUUCUGCUUCAUUUUUAAAAUUGUAGUUGUCUUACACUUAGACUUAUAUCCCGCCAUUCCAUUAAUUAGCUGCCACCUGCAGUUUGUGUGGGGUUUUUUUGUUUUGUUUUGUUUGGUGUGGGGGUUCAAACUCAGAUCCUUGAGCUG